rnacentral:rRNA from 1 species
UACGUAGGGUGCAAGCGUUGUCCGGAAUUAUUGGGCGUAAAGAGCUCGUAGGCGGUCUGUCGCGUCGGAUGUGAAAGCCCGGGGCUCAACUCCGGGCCUGCAGCCGAUACGGGCAGACUAGAGUUCGGCAGGGGAGACUGGAAUUCCUGGUGUAGCGGUGGAAUGCGCAGAUAUCAGGAGGAACACCAAUAGCGAAGGCAGCUCGCUGGGACGGUACUGACGCUGAGGAGCGAAAGCGUGGGUAGCAAACAGG